rnacentral:ncRNA from 2 species
AUCGUUCAUCUCUCCAGUGGAGGGACGGAAGUAGAGAAAAACUCUCGAAGGAACGCGCC